rnacentral:rRNA from 1 species
CACGCCGUAAACGAUGUCAACUAGCCGUUGGAUUCCUUGAGGAUUUAGUGGCGCAGCUAACGCAUUAAGUUGACCGCCUGGGGAGUACGGCCGCAAGGUUAAAACUCAAAUGAAUUGACGGGGGCCCGCACAAGCGGUGGAGCAUGUGGUUUAAUUCGAAGCAACGCGAAGAACCUUACCAGGCCUUGACAUGCAGAGAACUUUCCAGAGAUGGAUUGGUGCCUUCGGGAACUCUGACACAGGUGC